CAGCAGCCACGGGAAUACGAAGGGGGCUAGCGUUGUUCGGAAUUACUGGGCGUAAAGCGUGCGCAGGCGGUCCGCUAAGACAGAUGUGAAAUCCCCGGGCUUAACCUGGGAACUGCAUUUGUGACUGGCGGGCUAGAGUAUGGCAGAGGGGGGUAGAAUUCCACGUGUAGCAGUGAAAUGCGUAGAGAUGUGGAGGAAUACCGAUGGCGAAGGCAGCCCCCUGGGCCAAUACUGACGCUCAUGCACGAAAGCGUGGGGAGCAAACAGGAUUAGAUACCCCCGUAGUCCCUGUCUCUUAUAC
rnacentral:rRNA from 1 species